rfam:Pandoraea thiooxydans strain DSM 25325, complete genome.
CUCCGGGCGACUGGAGGUCUGAAGGAAGCCGGAUGGCAAAGCGCUGGCCUGACGAACAGGAAGCGGAUAUGAGGCGUGGCGGCUGGGUAAGGAGGCCGUAAUCUCCGAAGCCCGAAACUUGCACCGACGCUGGUCACGUAGAUCCGACAGGCAUAAGCGUGAAAGUGUGUGCG